rnacentral:rRNA from 1 species
GCCCAGACUCCUACGGGAGGCAGCAGUGAGGAAUAUUGGUCAAUGGGCGAGAGCCUGAACCAGCCAAGUCGCGUGAGGGACGACGGCCCUACGGGUUGUAAACCCCUUUUGCCGGGGGACAAACGGCGGCACGCGUGCCGUCCUGAGGGUACCCGGAGAAAAAGCAUCGGCUAACUCCGUGCCAGCAGCCGCGGUAAUACGGAGGAUGCGAGCGUUAUCCGGAUUUAUUGGGUUUAAAGGGGGCGUAGGCGGGAUGCCAAGUCAGGGGUCAAAUACGGGGGCUCAACCCCGCUCCGCCGUUGAAACUGUGUCCCUUGAGUGCGCGAAGGGUAGGCGGAAUGCGUGGUGUAGCGGUGAAAUGCAUAGAUAUCACGCAGAACUCCGAUCGCGAAGGCAGCCUACCGGCGCGCUACUGACGCUCAUGCACGAAAGCGUGGGUAUCGAACAGGAUUAGAUACCCGAGUACC